UUGACGGUACCCUACUAGAAAGGAGCCGCUAACUUCGUGCCAGAAGCGUCGGUAAUACGGGGGCUCCAAGCGUUAUCCGGUGCUAUUGGGCGUAAAGAGUCGUGUAGGUGGUUGGGUAAGUUAUCUUUCAAAUAUCUUUGCUUAACAAAGAGGAGGGGGAUAAUACUGCUCGACUAGAAUUUUCUCAAGGGAGAUCGGAACUGAGGGAGGAGUAGUGAAAUGCGUUGAUACCCUCGGGAACACCAGUGGCGUAGGCGGAUCUCUGGGAGAAGAUUGACACUGAGACACGAAAGCUAGGGGAGCGAAGCAGAUUAGAGACCUGCGUAGUCCUAGCCGUAAACGCAUGCUUGCUAGCUGCAUGAAUCUACCUUCGGGUGGUAUCGUGUGGCGAAGGUAACCCGUUAAGCAAGCCGCCUGGAAAGUACGGCCGCAAGGCUGAAAUUCAAAGGAAUUGGCGGGGAGGCACACAACCAGUGGAACAUGUGGUUUAAUUCGAGACUAACCGAAGAACCUCACCAGGGUUUGACAUGUAGCUGCACGUCUUAAGAAAUUAAGACUCUCUUGAAGGUGCUACACAGGUGCUGCAUGGCUGUCGUCAGCUCGUUCCGUGAGGAGUGCCCUUAAGUGGGACAACGAGCGCAACCCCUAUUACAUGUUAGAAAUGUCAUGUAAGACUGCCUUGCCAUUUGGCGGGGAGGAAGGAGGGGCAGACGUCAAGUCCGCAUGGUCCUUAUGCCCUGGGCUACACACAUGUUACAAUGAGUACGGCAAUGAGUCUGUCGCGAGCACGUAAGUGUAAGCUAAUCUCUUAAAUGUACUCUCAGUGGGGAUUGAGGUCUGCAACUCGACCUCAUGAACACGGAAUCGGUAGUAAUCGCGGGUCAGCUAUACCGCGGUGAAUACGUUCUUGCCUCUUGCACACACCGCCCGUCAAACCAGCAAAGUC
rnacentral:rRNA from 1 species